GCGCACUCACCUAUCCACUAAAUAGCAAUUUCAAUGUUGAAAGAUUUUAUUUGUUUUUUUUAACAAACCCCUAAACCCCCAUUAUUUUUGCCUAGAUUAGGUGUUUUUAAAAAAACAAAUAAAAUCUUUCAACAUUGAAGUUGCUGUUUAGUGGAUAGGUGAGUGUGC